UCACCUAGAAGCUUCUGGAUUGUCUUCUA
rnacentral:piRNA from 1 species